GCGAGAUACAGGCCUGGCAUCCCACCUGAGCUUCAGUUUACUGAGGAGACAAGCUGCUGAAUGAUGAAAGGAUGGAGAGGUGAUCCUGCCAACGGAAGAGGUAGAGGGAGCUAUUGCUGUGCGAAGAAAUUGCUCUCCUCGCAGCAGCUGCAGCACUGAACAUCUUCACAGUCCUUGCCUUCGGCAGGAGCAACAGCCAGAACAGUUGUGCAGGAAUCUGGACUGGACACGGAUAUUUUUUUGCCAGAGAAAGAAGCCACUGUUUUUUACUGGCCAGACCAUUUUGCCUUUGGGAAGGGGAAGUCAAGAACAGGGAAACUCCCUGUUGAAGGGACAGCAGCAUUCCCAUGCCUGCAGCCCA
rnacentral:lncRNA from 1 species